CUCUUACUCUGGGAGAAAGCCCAAGUGCUGCAGGAGUUCAGAAAGGAAAGAAUACCCCACUUUCAGGGAAACCAAAGGCAUCAUCUUCAAAGAAACCAAUAAAAGAAGCUGUGCCUAAGAAAGGACCUCUCAGAGACUAUUUGAUGAAAAAUCCAGAUGUAAUGAAAUCUUCAGAAACACAAAACAAAGCCAAGGAUAAGUUGAAGACAUUAGCUCAUCAAACCUUAGUGAUGCUGCUGAGUAAAUACGUAACCCGAAUUCGCUUUUGUCAAAUGUGUCUUGAAGAGAUGCCCUGGAGGUCUCAGAUGAAUAUCUAUCUGGCAGUUGCACACUACCACCUAUUUAAAAAGAACCUGGAAGAGCA
rnacentral:lncRNA from 1 species